rnacentral:lncRNA from 1 species
UCACCCCAAGACUUCAACCACUAAGACUUUGGGUACUUAGCAAACCCGACAAAUGAGAAGAUAUGUUCUUCUCAAACAACUCUCUUUUACACAACCACUCUCUCAAAAGAGUAGAUAAAGAGAUAUAAUUUUAGCUCUAUGAACAACACAAAGUUGUCUAUCAAAUGGCUCAACAAAAGCUCUAAAAAGAUGCUUGAAAAUGAUCAAUAUAUAUAUCAAUGAAUGGAGGAGUUGUGUGUUUAAAAACAGCUCAAAAGUCCUCAUUUUAUAGGUGAAAAAUGGUGUUGACCGUUGCUUAAUUGACAAAUAAAAUCUCUGAAUUUUUGCUCAUACAAUCGAUUGUCUGACCUACACAAUCGAUUGUUUGAGGACCGUUCAAAAAACAGACUCCUAAUUUUAAGGGAAACAAUCGAUUGUAAAACCUGUAUAAUCGAUUGUUCUUCAACGUUCAAAAAUCAAUUUAAGAUUCUGUGGGAACGGUCUGAAUAUANNN